GUUUUCUAUUCGUCAACUGAGGACAAGAGUUUGGCUGCAGGCUUUGUUAAGCAAAAAUGGCAAAAGAGCCUUCUGCUGGAGCUGUGCUGCGUGGUAGAGACAGAACAAACAAUCCCUGUCCCUACAUUGCUUUCCGGCUAAUGGGAAGUCACGACUGGCCCAAAUCGGAGGAAAUGGGGAGCUGAAGUCACAAAGGAGACUAAGGAGAAAGAGUAACAGAUAAGCUUACAGAACCGGACUCAUCCGCUCCACUCAAUUCCACCCAAAGACAAGUCAGGAGAGAAGGCUGAUCCACUUUGGAAUGGUGGGUGCUAACAAGAAGCAAACAGUGCCAACUAUCUCCUGGCUGGGAGCUCAGGGCCCUUGGGUUCAGCUCCUUAAUUUUGCAGGUGAUUGUUGUUGCUAGGAUACCUUUGGGUGAGCUAUGGGAUUCUGGCAGGCACCGUCACCAUCCCCGGGGUGAGGGGGGGGAGUGGGGUGACCCCUGCCUUGCCCAGGCAGAGGGGGAAAUAGCCCCAGAUGUUUCUCAGUGGUUCCAUGCUGUGGCUGCUGGCCUAUGUAUCCGGUGCCAGCAUUUCCCAGGAAGCCGUGCCAAGCCAAGGGGAGCUGCCCUUUCACUGGAACAGCUGGCAGCCCUGGGUGUGCAUGUGCCAGCUGCACAAACAAGCCCGCAUCCGUCAUUUUGUCAUCACGGUCCAGAAUAUGUCCCUGAACCUGCAGGCCGAGGAGUUCCGGCAGGAGAAGCCGUGCUCCAGGCGGGACUGUGUCAUGUGCUCCCUGGAGGAGUGUCCCAGCAGCCUCUCCCGCUCAGCUGUUCUCCCUUCACUUGACCUCACCCUAACCCAAGCCCCCACCUCCUUCCUCCAGUCACAAGACAACGACGUCGCCUCAGACUCCUAUGACAAUCUGCCCGAGGUGGAUGAUCGGGGUGAGGACUGAGGUGGGGGUGGGGGGGAAGAGGAGAGCAGUGAGAGUCCAACUCGGGAUGAGGGGAGACCGGCUACAGAGUGACAGGGGAGAUGUCGGCCCAGUGGGUGUUGAGUGUGAGGGGAUGGGGGGGAAGGGAUUCAGCCGUGCUGAUUCGGCAGGGUUCAGUCAUCAGUGAAUAAAAAGAGGUGGAAAUCCCACUGGGUUUUUCCUUUCAGCACCUCGGAUGGCUCCCAACACUGAAAGCUCAUCUACCUUUCUGUCCCUUUCCUCGGGCUCCUGGAACCCGGAAUCCUUUCUGACUAUAGACACGAUCCAGCCCUAUCAUUCAUUCAAUCGUAUUUAUUGAGCGCUUACUGCACGCAGAGCACUGUACUAAGCUCCCGGGAAAGAACAAUAGACACAUUCCCUGCCCUCGAUGAGCUCCUUCCUUCAGCCCACCGUGGCAUGCUCCUUUUUCCAGCUCGAACAAAUUCAGAAGAACUCCAGGUUUAGCUCAGUGCCUUUCCCAGAACCUACUCUCUCCCAUCAAUCAAUCAAU
rnacentral:lncRNA from 1 species